UACGUAGGGACCAAGCGUUGUUCGGAUUUACUGGGCGUAAAGGGCGCGUAGGCGGCAAUUCAAGUCAUCUGUGAAAUCUCCGGGCUUAACUCGGAACGGUCAGAUGAUACUGCUUUGCUAGAGUGCGGGAAGGGGCAAUCGGAAUUCUCGGUGUAGCGGUGAAAUGCGUAGAUAUCGAGAGGAACACCAGAGGUGAAGACGGGUUGCUGGGCCGACACUGACGCUGAGGCGCGAAAGCCAGGGGAGCAAACGGG
rnacentral:rRNA from 1 species